UUAAUUAACGGUCCCCCAUAAAUAGCGCCUCCAUCGGUGACGUGAUAAUUAAUUCGUCUAGUUUUGUUAACGGUCCAAAUAAAUAGCGCCCUCUUGUGCGCAUGUGGUUCGGUAACUUAAACCAUGACGUCAUCACACAACCUUGCCUGGCGGUCACCCCGCAUCGUCGUUCCCACAAUUUUCAAUGCGCUUCCCACUCGACCCCCUGUCCACCAGCAUGCUUUGCUGUAGGUUUGGGGUGAACUUUUCGAACGGUCUUAUGAAAACGAAGUUGUCAGUUCUCCAUCCAAAGGAACAAGGUUGAUAUAACUGGACGCGACUGGACGCAAUCUUUAGGGUGGCGCUAUUUAAGGGGACCGUUAGCUAAACUAACCUAAACCUACCUGAAGGGGCGCUGUUCAAGGUGACCGUUAAAAAAAUAAACGGGCCUGCGAAAAGUGAUGGAUGCUGUUUGUUUUGGGGUGCAUUCUCACCUUUUUUUGUACGGAUGAAAGUUGAUGCUGGUCAACUUGUUCCAAUUCAUUGUGGUGAUGAACCGGGUCCAGGAGCAAGUCUACACUACAUACAUGAAGACUAAUGUUGAUGCAAAAUAUCUGCUGCUACUUAUAUGCCGACUAAAAGAGACUCAAAGUCCAUGGACUGCUUUUAUAAAGAUCGUCUCACCUCUGAAGUUAAAAUAAUACUACAGGCUGUUACAGUUCGGUAUGUUACUUCUCAGGUCAAUUAUGGAGGUCUGGCAUGAACAUUGUGCAUUUUAAGCAUCCAAUAUGUUGUUGCACCAAUCUCAUGUUUCUGCAAAAUACACUACAGUGAUGCAGUAUGAUGGACAGCAGUGCCAGACCAAUAAAGAACUUAUUUAGUCGAUGUAAUUCUUUGCAUAGGGGAUAAAGAGCAUAAUUUGUUCUUACCCUUGCACAGAUGUGUAUUAAACACUGUUUACUCAUUGCAAGCUAGCCUGCUGGCUAGAGGCAGCUCAAAUCCUAUGUUUUAGCAGCAGAUUCGUACUGCCUCUAGCCACUGGUGGUCUAGUGGUCAGAUAUCUACUCUAG